AUUGAACGCUGGCGGCAGGCCUAACACAUGCAAGUCGAACGCAGUUGCGAACGGGUGAGUAAAGCGUAGGUAACUGCCUCAUAGCGGGGGAAAACUAUUGGAAACGAUAGCUAAUACCGCAUAUUGUGAGAUGGACCUGCGUUGUAUUAGCUAGUUGGUGAGGUAAAGGCUCACCAAGGCGACGAUACAUAGCGGACCUGCGAGGAUGAUCGGCCACACUGGGACUGAGACACGGCCCAGACUCCUACGGGAGGCAGCAGUAGGGAAUCUUCGACAAUGGGCGAAAGUCUGACCGAGCAACGCCGCGUGAGUGAAGAAGGUUUUCGGAUCGUAAAACUCUGUUGUUAGAGAAGCGGUAUCUAACCAAAAAGCAACGGCUAACUACGUGCCAGCAGCCGCGGUAAUAC
rnacentral:rRNA from 1 species